rnacentral:rRNA from 1 species
UACGUAGGGUGCAAGCGUUAAUCGGAAUUACUGGGCGUAAAGCGUGCGCAGGCGGUUGUGCAAGACAGAUGUGAAAUCCCCGGGCUCAACCUGGGAAUGGCAUUGUGACUGCACGGCUAGAGUGUGUCAGAGGGGGGUAGAAUUCCACGUGUAGCAGUGAAAUGCGUAGAUAUGUGGAGGAAUACCGAUGGCGAAGGCAGCCCCCUGGGAUAACACUGACGCUCAUGCACGAAAGCGUGGGGAGCAAACAGG